AACGAACGCUGGCGGCAGGCCUAACACGUGCAAGUCGAACGCUCCGCAAGGGGAGUGGCAGACGGGUGAGUAACACGUGGGAAUCUUCCUAUUGGUACGGAAUAGCUCAGGGAAACUUGGGGUAAUACCGUAUAAGCCCGUGAGGGGAAAGAUUUAUCGCCGAUAGAUGAGCCCGCGUCUGAUUAGCUAGUUGGUGAGGUAACGGCUCACCAAGGCGACGAUCAGUAGCUGGUCUGAGAGGAUGACCAGCCACACUGGGACUGAGACACGGCCCAGACUCCUACGGGAGGCAGCAGUGGGGAAUAUUGGACAAUGGGCGCAAGCCUGAUCCAGCCAUGCCGCGUGAGUGACGAAGGUCUUCGGAUUGUAAAGCUCUUUUGCCAGGGACGAUAAUGACGGUACCUGGAGAAUAAGCCCCGGCUAACUUCGUGCCAGCAGCCGCAGUAAAAC
rnacentral:rRNA from 1 species